rnacentral:rRNA from 1 species
ACGAACGCUGGCGGCGUGCUUAACACCUGCAAGUCGCACGGAAAGGCCCUGCUUUUGUGGGGUGCUCGCGUGGCGAACGGGUGAGUAACACGUGAGUAACCUGCCCUUGACUUUGGGAUAACUUCAGGAAACUGGGGCUAAUACCGGAUAGGAGCUCCUGCUGCAUGGUGGGGGUUGGAAAGUUUCGGCGGUUGGGGAUGGACUCGCGGCUUAUCAGCUUGUUGGUGGGGUAGUGGCUUACCAAGGCUUUGACGGGUAGCCGGCCUGAGAGGGUGACCGGCCACAUUGGGACUGAGAUACGGCCCAGACUCCUACGGGAGGCAGCAGUGGGGAAUAUUGAACAAUGGGCGGAAGCCUGAUGCAGCAACGCCGCGUGCGGGAUGACGGCCUUCGGGUUGUAAACCGCUUUCGCCUGUGACGAAGCGUGAGUGACGGUAAUGUGUAAAGAAGCACCGGCUAACUACGUG